AGGAGGAAGAGGAAAAAGUCGGUUGCGUCUAACAAUCCCUUCUCCUAUGGGGAAGGACACAUCUUUCCUAAAAUGUCUCUGAGGCACCAAGGUGAGAGCGUGGACCAUCAGGCACACUAAGGGAAAGAGGAACUUUGGCCAGUGCAAAGCAGGUGAUGACAUUGAGGCUGAGUAAUGGAGGGCCCCGCCCAGGGUCACGGAGCAAACACAGAGCCAACACAGAACCAGAGUGUGCUCCCUCCAGGAUGGCCCCUGGCUUCUCUACGGUGAUGCCAACACAAAAAACCAAGUACUGUGUGGCUCGUUUCAAGUUCUGAAGGCCCUCAUCUCAGUGAUCGGCCUCAUAGUUCAUAACUCUCACUAUGCAUCCCCACUAUGGGGAACUUUAAAUCAAGGAAAGAAAAUGAAUGUCCAGGUUCCAUCCCAUGAGAUUCAGAUUCAAUUGGUUUGGG